ensembl:lncRNA
CGAGGCAAGGAAAAAGUGUUAUGUUUGUGAAAAUCAGGGCCAAUGCUAUGGAAAAUAAAAGAAUUUUUAAGAUUAUUUACAAAAAAAAAAAAAAAAAAAGAGAAAUACAGUAGCUGCAGUGUAUUUGUAUCAGAGAUCAAACACAAAUAAAGGAGCGAAUGAGAUUACCUGGCAUUUGCAACUGCUUACAAAAAACUUCAGGGAGUAUGCUGUAAGUGACUAGUGCCAUUCAAUUAAUAUCUGUGCUGGCAAUUCCUUCUACUGAAUGCUGAAAUUUAUUUCCAGCACUGAACUCCAGGAGAAGAAUUCUCUGCUCUUUUCUUGAACUCAAAAGCUUCAGAUGUAAUGAAAGAAAAAUGAAGCAUCUCUUUUCCUCAGGCUCUGAGAAUGGCAGCAUUAGAACAUGCUGGACUUUUAGUGCAAGAAAGACAUGGAGCUCCCGGAAUGGGUAUAGGAGAUGGAAACAAAGAUGACUAAUCAACUGGAGCAUCUCUCUUACAACAAAAGACUGAGUUGGCCCUGUUCAGCCUUGAGAAGAGACAACUACGAAGGGACAUCGUCGAUAUAUGUAAGUAUCAGAAGGGAGGGUGUCAAGAGCAUGAACCCAGGGUCUUCUCAGUGGUGAAGAGCAAUAGGACAAGUGGCAAUGGGCAGAAACUGCUGCACAGGAAGUUCCACCAGAAUAAGGGUGUAACAAUUCUCUGUGAGUGACCAUGUACUGGAACAGAUUCCCCAGAAAGGCUUUGACUCUCCCUCAUUGUAGACAUUCAAGAAGUCUGGACAAAAUUCUGUGCUGUGUGCUCUAGGAUGAUCCUGCUUGAACAGGGAGGUUGGGCCAGAUGACUCAAAAAUAAUUUUUAAAAAAAGGAAGUAAUCUUUCCACAUUUUGAUUCCUGGUUUCCUGGUCAAACCUAGCCUGUUUCAAAUUUAUUUGUUUUUAUCUUUUGACAUCCUUAAGUAUUUCUCAUAUUUUAAGUUUCUUUAUUUCAGAAUUAUUGCUAUAUAUAUUUCGAUUCUAUGAGAAUUUAUGGAUAAUUUUUAUGUCCUGGAAAUCAGAUUUUCAAAGAAAUUUGACUGUAGAAGCAUAAUUGCCUUUGUUAAUGCCUACAAUUUACACUGCUCCAACAGACUACAUGUCAACAUGAAAGUCGAAUUUAGUUUAGUAAGAAUGAAAAACAACACCUCAGAAACUGAUGUGUCUUACUUCUGAUAUACUUAGUUCUAUUUGGGUGAGAAGCUUACUGGCCCAGAUCAAAAAAGAAAUUUGUAAUCUAGGAAACAGCUGAUAGUAUUAUGAAACGGAAGGUAAAAGAGAUGGGACGGGUUUGUGGGCCAAAGUAUACUCUUUAUAUUCUUCCAUUAUAUUUAAUUGAUUCUGCUGAUGUGGACAUUAAUUUGUUUGUUUUCCUUAGUCACUGAAUACACUACAUUGCAUUAAACACAUCAAAAUCAAUGUCAGUUUUUUGAGAAAGAAUUUUUUUUCUAAGCACAUUUAAAUGGAAACUAUUGGAAUUCAUGCUGUCUAAUUCAACUGUUUUGUGUUUUGUUCUCCCUGUUCCUGAGCAAUUAAUAUAUUAUAUAAAUUACAUCUUCUUUUUGACUAUUCUUCAAUAUUUAUUAUAAUAUUUUCUGAUCUUCCCAUAUUAAAUCUGUUGCAUGAUCUUUUAUUUAUUUAUUUCUGCAUAUCUUCUUAGGAAGUAAAAGCUUUUCCUAUCUCAUUUUGUAAAGUACGUUUUUUAGAGCCCUGUAAGUCUGCUAAAGGUUGGGUCAUUUUAACUUCUGGGAAUAAAAAUCUUGACAGUAAUUCAGGUACAGUCUUGCAGAAUUAAAUUAAAUUACAAAUCAUUUUUCUGAACAAAUUUUUUUAUUUUUAUGCUGGAAAAUUUCAACAGGCUACCCAAAGCCUUUCAAGCUAACCAAAGCCUUUUUAAUUUUUUUUUUUUCCAUCUGAGAGGGUUCUCUUAAAAGUAGCAUCAGCUGUUGGAGCUAACAGAGUAUUAAACCUACAAUUUUCACUUUUAUGGUGUUUGUACCACUUAGUUUAUAUCCUUAUUAUUAGAAAAUAUGUGAAGAACAGGUUAAAAAGUGGGAUCUGUUCUGGAAAAAUAAUGGGGGUCCAAACUCAAGUGAUGAGAACCAUAAAGGUUGAUUUCAAAUUCCCAUUAGAAAUUUCCACUUGACUUGAGAGAAGGUUCACCCUGACACAGAAGCACAGUCUACACUGUGUGCUGAGAGACCUAAACAACAUAAUUGUGAAUGUAUUUUAUGGAAAGAGAAUUAUAAAUGUUAAGCAUGCCUAAUUCAUAGAACAGUCAAGGACAAUUGCCUACGCACAAUUAUGUAACAUAGUUCUGUGUCAGGUACUUAAGAAUGGUAAAUAAAAACAAUCAAAAAGUAUUUUUAACAUGUAGCUGAUAUUUUUAAUAAUUAUUCAGUUUAAUUUAUUGUGGUUGUCUCUAUGAUGUAAAAUAGAAUUGUGAUGAGAUGUUUGGUUAAGCUUGGGGAGGAAAUUUAUCUUCAUUUGAUCUUCCAUAUAGAUGGAAUACAUUACUCUGAAAAAAAAGGCAUCUCACAGCUUGAAUAUUUUGUAGCCUGACUUUCUAUUUUAGUUCUCUAUUGCUAAGACAGUACUAUUCAGUUGGCAAAAAAUACAUUGUGUUCAAUAGUAAAACCUGAGGAAAGGAAACAAUAAUUUUCUAAUAUUAGGGAAAACAAAGCAGUCUUUAGAAAAGUUAUUCAAUAUUCCAUAAACUCAAGAAUAUUUUCUCAUCUUUAUGCAAAUUGUAUAGUAUCUCUAUGAUCUCUUUUGUUGCUAAAGUAAUAGGUCAAUUAUGGCAAAGCAACUGUGAUUGCAAGACCAUAGUAAAAGUUUUGGCAGCUUGGCUGUAGGCAUUUUUAUGUAAAGUUACUAUUCCUCAUCUAAAGUCUUAAUUUAAUAAGAUGGAAAAUAAUAAUAAAGUGGAAGAUCUGUGGCUCAUCAAAAGCUAUUUUAUGUGCUACUGAAAAAGGGCAUUUCACCCAGCUGAACAAAGAAAUUUCUUCAAAGUGUGAGCAGAAAUUGACUUCAAGGGCACCUUUUUUUUUUUUCUUUUCUUUUUCCUUUUCUUCUUUUUUUCCUUUUUGUUUUCAUUUUCAGUUUGCCAAAGGCUGCUGUCAUCACUAAUAUAAUUAUUUCUAAAUCAUUUGAUCUGUAAAGUUUCACCAGACUGGACAUUUCUAUUUCUAUGCUCUUAUUUCAUAUUUUGGAACAUUUGGCACAGCUGAUCAGAGUGAUUGAUUGAAAUAUGGUAGAGGAAGGUAGCUGAAAAUAAUGCCAGAGUGCUAGUAUUUUCUUGAGAUUACCUAUAUCCAGUCUCUAGAAUACACUUAAUAGACACAUGAUCAAUAUUUCAUUAGCAAUGACUAAUAACUCAUGAUGAUGUAAUACAUGAUUAGAGGAAGACAUUUCCUGAUAUCUGAUAGCUGGAAAUAAAUAUAGCAGCUCCCUACAGAUAAUUAUUUCUCUUCUAUACUGUUAAGAAUACAUUCCAGAAAAGAAAGAACAACACAAAUAAACAUAUUUUAAUAUUUAGAUAAAGUAAUAGUUUAAUUAAGCUACUUCAGUUUUAUUAUGUUUUGCUGGAAAAACACCUUUUUACCCAUUAUCUUGAAAAGAAUGAUAUGAGAGAGAAUUAAGCAGGGCUUGAUUUACAAAGUUAUAUUAAGUUUAUAGUAAGAAAUGUGUAGUAAUAAAAUUUCUAUGACUAGUUUUAACUGGAUUUUUUCCUUCAAUAGAAGAAUCUUUCAUGCAAGUCAAGGAAGAGGUAUCACAUUGGCUGCAUGGGUGUUCGCCAUGUGGAACUCCGAUUCUUACUAGACAGAGCCCCAAAUGAGAAAAAUCUCCAAGGUUUCUAUUGGCAUGUUUAUAUACCUGCAGUGAUUUCCCUUUUUGGCUUGUGUUGACAGCUUUAAAGGAUUGUUUUCUCCAGAGUGUCUCCUUUUUUUUUAUUAUUAAGUUUUUUUUACAAGUUUCUAACUCUAGCAUUAAGAAUGUCCGUCUUAAGUCUUAUGAUUUAGCUAUCUGAAAAUAAUUUGCUUAUUAUUAAGUAGGUGAUAUGAUAAAUCUACACAUAUUUCUCUGUCAUUUACAGCUUUGAUUACUCUCAUUUUUGGUACAUUAAUCUUCUCCCUAUCUCAUUCCACAGCUAUUACCUAAUAAAGUGAAAAAUUUGAAAGGAUUUUUUUUUUCAGAACAAUGAAUGGAAAAAAUCAGAAGCAUGGUUAAAUUAAUGUAAGCUUACUUUUCAAAUAUUGUGAGUAUGAUUACAGUAAUCCAACUUUAUAUGAUCGUAAAAUAGAUGUCUUGAAAUGAGGGCCAUAGUAAGCUGACUUCCUUUAUAGGAAAAAAAUAAAAAAAGAAAGAGGAACUUUUGGGUUAUGGUUCAUUUAGCUUGGUUUAGAUAUCUACUUUAGAAUAAGAAGAAUUGUGCCCUUGACUCCAGUAAGUAUAUUGACAUCUUUAUGGACUGUAUGGUUAGACCGAUUAGGAUCUCAAACAGGUUUAGAUAUCAAAAGCUUCAGAGUGAAAUUUAUAUUCUCAUUUUUAACUUGAAGGUAAGAUAAAAAAAGGAAAUAGUAAAGUAUAUUUCCAUCUGACAUAUCCUAUAAAAGUAUUUCUCCAAAUAAAAGAACUAUAUUCUCUUUAUAUCGACAUAUUUUUACAUAUGUAUAUCUAUCUAUGUAUGUGCAUAUAUAUAUACACAUAUAUCCCCAAUAGCAGGCAUUCAAAAUUUGCAACAAGAAAUUUAAAGUUGUGUGUCUUUCUUUGUUCUUUUUCCAAUUAUAUGACCUGAUUUCAGUGCAAGAGAACUGCGAUAACGUGAUGAGUCAGAAGCAGCAGAGAGCUGGCUAAUAGAUUCACUGAAUAUGUGUUCAAACUUACUGAUCUGUUUCACUGAUGCUGUAUGGUGCUUCUUCCCAGCAUCAAUUAAUAACUUGGCAGCCUUACCCUCAGAUGCAAGGGAACUCUGAACUCCUGUACGACAUCAUAAAGGUGGUAUGAUAUUUAGUGAUAACUCAGUUAUUAACGUGCUCAUCAUCACAGUGAUAUGUAAUUUUUUCUAAUUUUCAUAGCUUUUCUUCAGUGGAAAAGAGUUUAAGUGUAAUAUCAGGAUAGAGGCAUGGGGAAGAAGAACCAGUUUAAGAUAAGAGAAUGAAGACAUAUAUGUGCUUAACUCAGAAACCUCAUGUUUAAGAGCUCAGGUCAAGGGUUAGAAAGAAUUUCCUGCUUUUGUCGUAACAGAAUGCUUGUAAUAACAGUUCUAAUAGUUAUUAUAGUAAGUCCUAUAUUAAAAGAAACUAUAUUUGGAUUUUAAUUUUGCUUUAAAAAUUUUCUUCAUUCCAUAAAAGCUCUUUUUUAUUAGUUUAAGAAGAAGAUAUUCACACAUUAAAAAAAAAAGGCUGUAUAAUGGACUGUAUCACCUCGCAGACAUAGACAUGCAGGAUUUUUUAUAGAAACGCCCAUUUUUUCACAUGUAAAGAAAUCAUCUUUUGAACAAAGACAAGGUGAAACCUCUAGGCUGAAUUCCAGCUGUUUGAGGAAUUUAUAGAGAUCAUCAUAGACACUUCCUCACUCAGUGCUUGCUUCCAUUUGCAACAGCUUGAUUUUCAGUCCAAGUCUGAAGGAUUAAAGAGGAAGAGAGAAAAGAAGGAAACUGUACAAAAUGAGUAUCUUAUCAAUAGUCUGCUAGAAUAUGGCUGGAUGCCCUGAUAGUCAUUGUGGCUGCAAGGAUGUGUGCAGGAUAUGAACAGCUCACAAGGGACUGAGAAGGGAUUUAAUAUAAAACUUGUGUUGCACUCAUUCAAGAAGAUUCUCAGGUUCUGUAAGUGGAGAUCCAUUACAUCUAUUCUAUUCAGCUAUCUGAAAUUACAUGAAUGUAAUGUCCCUUAAAAAAACAAGUUUUGAGGUUAAAAAAAUCUCAAUCCCCCCUCCGGAAAUUCAGUAUUAACACAGUUUCUAAGGAAAAAAAGAAGCUAAAAUAAAUUUCCCACUUCUACUGAAUUUUGGCUCAAAAUCUCCAACAGCGUGUGCAGAAGCCUGUCAUACUUCUUACAAUAUGCUGACCAAAACUUAUACAGAGAGUAUGCAAAAGUACUACCUUAUACCCAGAGCAAGAUUCAUGCUAUAGAGUUAUAUCAGUUAUGAUGAUUUUCUUUAAUAAAAAUUCAGGUCAGUUAAUGUGUGCUGAGAAUACAAAAAAAAAAAAAAA